rnacentral:misc_RNA from 1 species
UGAUAGAUUUUGCUGUGCCGGUGGUGGCGUGUCUGCUGGUCUGGCUGUUGGUUAAUCGUGGGUGAAAAAAGGUGAGCUGUAUAUGCAACGGAGGAAGAAACCCCGUUGCUGGAAGCCUGGAAAAAGUAUCGGGUGUUGCUGAACCGUGUUGAUACAUCAAC